GGGCGAGCCGGGCACAGGAGAGCCCAAGGGUCUGUAACACCCCCGCUUCGGCUGUGGCGGUUCGAAUCCGCCCUCGCCCACCA
rnacentral:tRNA from 1 species